AGAAACAGCAGUAGCCGCGGUAAUACAGAGGGUGCGAGCGUUAAUCGGAUUUACUGGGCGUAAAGCGUGCGUAGGCGGCUUCUUAAGUCGGAUGUGAAAUCCCUGAGCUUAACUUAGGAAUUGCAUUCGAUACUGGGAAGCUAGAGUAUGGGAGAGGAUGGUAGAAUUCCAGGUGUAGCGGUGAAAUGCGUAGAGAUCUGGAGGAAUACCGAUGGCGAAGGCAGCCAUCUGGCCUAAUACUGACGCUGAGGUACGAAAGCAUGGGGAGCAAACAGGAUUAGAUACCCCAGUAGUCCCUGUCUCUUAUAC
rnacentral:rRNA from 1 species